AACGAACGCUGGCGGCAUGCCUAACACAUGCAAGUCGAACGAGACCUUCGGGUCUAGUGGCGCACGGGUGCGUAACGCGUGGGAACCUGCCCUUAGGUUCGGAAUAACUCCCCGAAAGGGGUGCUAAUACCGGAUAAUGUCUUCGGACCAAAGAUUUAUCGCCUUUGGAUGGGCCCGCGUUGGAUUAGCUAGUUGGUAGGGUAAAAGCCUACCAAGGCGACGAUCCAUAGCUGGUCUGAGAGGAUGAUCAGCCACACUGGGACUGAGACACGGCCCGGACUCUUGCGGGAGGCAGCAGUGGGGAAUAUUGGACAAUGGGCGAAAGGCUGAACGAGUAAGGCCGCGUGAGUGAUGAAGGCGGUAGGGUUGUAAAGCUCUUUUACCCGGGAUGAUAAUGACGGUACCGGGAGAAUAAGCUCCGGCUAACUCCGUG
rnacentral:rRNA from 1 species